CUUAGGUCAAAAGUGCUACCUGUUUAGGAUGGUGGGGAUGAAAGGACCAGACACCAAGGAGGAUGGAAAUAGGGAGCCCUGGGCUGCCCAUACUCACCUGUGCCACAUCAAGCAAGAAGAGCUGCAGAGAGAUUAAAGUAAUGCAGGACUUGGACUCAGCCUGGGGCUUUGUCUGGUAGGCCACAAAUGCCGCUCUUCUGUUUUACUCACAAACAUAGGCCUGCUGCACAGAAUUUGGGACAGACACCUGUUGGAUCUUAGGAUAUUUAAAGAUGACAUGACUGUCUACAUAGAAAAUUCCGAAGAAUGAACCACAACAAAAAACUCCUGGGACUAAUAAGCAAUUACAGCAAGGUUGCAGGAUACAAGAUUAAUAUACAAAACCAGGUUUCCAACUAGCUGCUGUCCAAAUAUAGGUGAAGGAUUGACAUCUGUGUAUACUUUGGUAGCACAUAUGCUUUUUCACGAGAAAACUGUGAGCAAUUCUGAAAGACAAAGGGGAAACUGAAAGGAAGAAAAAGAAAGGAAAUGCAAAGGAGCCGAGGGGUAAAUAUCGAACAUGAAGUGGGGACAGAACCUUCAGCAGCACCCCCAAUUACUUCAGACUCUACCUUUUCGCUUGACCAUAAGGUAGGAGGCACUAAAGGUGACGGUAUCUAACAAUCAAGGCAAAUUGGAUGUCUCUAUUGUCUCAGGUGGGUAUUUUCUAUUUCUAAAGAUUUCUUAAACCUUCCUGGACUGAUCUUCAAAAUUAUUCCUUAGAAUUUAAAAAUGA